rnacentral:rRNA from 1 species
GAUGAACGCUGGCGGCGUGCCUAAUACAUGCGAGUCGAGCGAACAGACGAGGAGCUUGCUCCUCUGACGUUAGCGGCGGACGGGUGAGUAACACGUGGAUAACCUACCUAUAAGACUGGGAUAACUUCGGGAAACCGGAGCUAAUACCGGAUAAUAUAUUGAACCGCAUGGUUCAAUAGUGAAAGACGGUUUUGCUGUCACUUAUAGAUGGAUCCGCGCCGCAUUAGCUAGUUGGUAAGGUAACGGCUUACCAAGGCGACGAUGCGUAGCCGACCUGAGAGGGGGAUCGGCCACACUGGAGCUGAGACACGGUCCAGACUCCUACGGGAGGCAGCAGUAGGGAAUCUUCCGCAAUGGGCGAAAGCCUGACGGGCAACGCCGCGUGAGUGAUGAAGGUCUUCGGAUCGUAAAACUCUGUUAUUAGGGAAGAACAAAUGUGUAAGUAACUAUGCACGUCUUGACGGUACCUAAUCAGAAAGCCACGGCUAACUACGUG